GACGAACGCUGGCGGCGUGCUUAACACAUGCAAGUCGAACGAAGUGGCGAACGGGUGAGUAAUACGUGGGUAACCUGCCCUCCUUUUUGGGAUAAGCCUUGGAAACGGGGUCUACUACCAAAUAAAGGGGGAUGGGUUCGCUGCCGAUCAGCUUGUUGGUGGGGUGAUGGCCGACCAAGGCGGUGACGGGUAGCCGGCCUGUGAGGGUGACGGGCCAGAGGAGUACGGGGAUACGGCCCAGAGUCGUACGGGAGGGGGCAGUGGGGGAUAUUGCACAAUGGGGGAGAGCCUGAUGCGGCGAAGCGGCGUGGGGGAUGAAGGCUUUCGGGUUGUAAACCUCUGUCGCUAUCGAGCGGGUAGGUGGAGAAGAAGCGCCGGCUAACUACGUGCCAGCAGCCGCGGUAAUAC
rnacentral:rRNA from 1 species